AAAAAUGACUUUGAUGGAAUUUCGAAUUGAAUUUGGUUAUGGGGGCAUCUCAAAGAUGCGCUUUGAUAUGAGCUUUGAAAAAGUUCAGCUGAAACUGUGAGCCAGGGCG